GGGGGUGUAGCUCAGUUGGGAGNAGCGCCUGCUUUGCAAGCAGGAGGUCAUCGGUUCGAUUCCGUUCACCUNCC
rnacentral:tRNA from 1 species